rnacentral:rRNA from 1 species
UAUGUGAUCGUCUCUCGCAUAUCAAUAAGCGGAGGAAAAGAAACUAACAAGGAUUCCCCUAGUAACGGCGAGUGAAGCGGGAAGAGCUCAAAUUUGAAAUCUUAAAGGGUUUCCCUUUACGAAUUGUAGUUUAAAGAAGUGUUUUCUGUUGAGGUUUUGGUAAAAGUUCUUUGGAAUAGGACAUCAUAGAGGGUGAGAAUCCCGUAUUUGACCUUUACUUUCAACUUUGUGAUACACUUUCAAAGAGUCGGAUUGUUUGGGAAUGCAGUCCAAAAUGGGUGGUAAAUUUCAUCUAAAGCUAAAUAUUGGCGAGAGACCGAUAGCGAACAAGUACCGUGAGGGAAAGAUGAAAAGAACUUUGAAAAGAGAGUUAAACAGUACGUGAAAUUGUCAAAAGGGAAGCGUUUGACACCAGUGUUGUUUUUCUGAAAAUCAAUUAAAGAACUGUUUAUGCUAAGUUGUUUAGACUUUAUCAGCUAACUGUUUAGUUUUGAGCUUUUCUUUAAUGCACUUUUCAGUUAGCAAGUCAACAUCAAUUUCUUUUGCUGUAAAAAAGCUUGAGGAAGGUGGCUUGAGAUUCGUCUUAAGUGUUUAUAGCCUCUUGCCUAUGCAGUCGGAGAGAUUGAGGUCUGCAGCGUAGAUCCUUCGGGGCUAAAUGCAUUUGUGCUAAGUUAUAGCAUUUUAUAGACAACUUGUUGACUAUGAUUUGUCUUGUAGCUUACUCGCUUAUGUUAUUUUACCUACGCUUAGGAUGUUGAGUAGCGACAUACGCAC